GGCUACCCGCUGAGUUUAAGCAUAUCAAUAAAGCGGAGGA
rnacentral:rRNA from 1 species